rnacentral:lncRNA from 1 species
AUUAGGCAAAAGGCAGGACAUUUCGUUACAAACCGUUCAAGAAUGUUUGUUCUAAACGACAUUAUCCAUCAACAACGUGAGACAGAGCUAAAAUACAGUCUGAAAACAUCUGACAAGCCUUAACAACGGCUAACAGCACCAAUUCCUGUUCUACUUCUUCAACAUGGUUGUUAACAGCCAGAUCCACCUGCCGCCAGCCCAAACAUCGUCUGACAGCCCCAUCACUGUUAGAGAAUCUGUUAGGCUAACAUUCCCUAACAGGCACGCCUGUUAGCCGCUGUUAGACCCCCUAUGAGUUGGUAGGGUGUGUGAGACUCUGUGUGUGUGUGUGUAUGUGUGUGUGAGACUCUGUGUGUGUGUAUAUGUGUGUGAGACUCUGUGUGUGUGUGUGUGUGUGUGUGUGAGACUCUGUGUGUGUGUGUGUCUCUGCGUGUGUGUGUGUGUGUGUGUGUGCAUGUUUUCAUGUUACUCCAAAUCCACCAUGUGCCCCAACAGUGCUGUUAUUGUGUGGUUGUCUGUGUGUUCUUGUUACCCCAACAUCACCUGCUUGUGUCUGCCUGUCUGUCUGUCUGUUUGUAUACAACUACCCAUCUGUCUGUUUGUCUGUCUAUCUCGAUAGAUUAGGUACGUAGGCAUGGAUAGCUAGAUGCAGAUAGAUGUAGGUAAAUAGGUAGACCGUUGGCAAACAGUUGGCACACAACUGUUUGGUACACAGUUAUUAGGACAGUUGGUGGACAGUUAGCAGACAGUUGACCCACAACCGUUGGCAGACAGUUGGCACACAACUGUUUGGUACACAGUUAUUAAGACAGUUAUCAGACAGUUGUAGGCAUUUGGCAGACAGUUGACCCCACAACCGUUGGCACACAGUUGAGCAGGCUGUGGACAGACAGUUGGGCAGGCAGUUGCUGACAUGACAGGUGGACAGUCAGUCGGUUUCAAGCCACAUGGUUGAUGGGACAGUUAAAAUCAGUACGUCGGUUGUUAGUCAGUUGUGAGACAGUUGGAAGGCAGUUGGUGGGCAGUUAGCAGGCAAUCAGGCAGAUGAUGUGGUGGCAGACACUUUAUGGGCACUUACUAAGUAAAAAAAAUGUAGUUACCGCAGGCACACACAUUAUUGUUGGUGGUCAGGACACUAGUAAUAUAUAUAUAGGUGGGUUGGCAGUUGGCAAAAAGUCAAGUCAAUACACAGUUCAGAGGCAGUUGGCUGACAGAUCGGAGACAGUUGGCCAAACAGUUGCCUGACUGUUGAAAAACAAUUCGUGGUAGGUCGUUGGGAGGAAGUUGAUGAACACAGCUAGCAGACAGUUAGGAACACGCGCUGAAUUUAACUGGCAUGGCCACACCGAGGCAUGGAUCCAUCCGGAUGGGAGUGUGGGCUACACAGCAGCCUGGCUCCUGUGCAGCAGGGGCCAGCAGCCUUCUUUCUGGUAUCAAGGAUCCAGUACUAUCGGUGGCAGCACAGCGCAGGAAGAGGACACGAUGCUGCCCAGACAUUGCUUCACAGGGAGGAGGGGCCUGUGUGUAGUAUGAGAAAUGUUAGUCUGAAGCACUGCUGCUGCUGCGGGUGAUUGUGAUGAUGAUGUUGAGACAUUUAGUCAGCUACAGACUGUAGUCCUUUGCCCUGUAGCUGCGAUGUGCACAUAUGAUGGCAGCACUGCAUGAGCAUAUGAGCAUGUGUAUGUGUGGGUGGCCAGGACGGAAGGGGAUUGUAGUGCUAGAAGCAUAUAUGUAAUCGUUUGAGGCAUGACGAUGAGCUUCAUCCCCAUCCAUGGCGUAGGCAUCUGGAGCAGUGUUGAUGAUGGCAGCAUAAAAAGCAUACAAGCUAUACUAUACUACAGCUUCUGCUCGUGCUUUUAGCUGCAAUGUGGGACUUUGUG